UUUUCCUUUUUUUUUUUUUUUUUUUUUUUUUUUUAAGCCCGGGGUUGGGGGGCGGGGGGGGGGCUCGAUGAAGCUCGGCGGGGCCCCGGCGCUCUAUGGAGCGGCCGCCGCGCCGCUGCCGCCGCGCUGCCCCUGAGCGGAGCCGCCGAGCUGCUGCUGCUGGUGCCGGCAGCGGGCGGGCGGGGGGCGAACCGGCUGCUGCCCCCCCCCCCCCCCGAUCCCCCACCCCAGCCCCGCACCGGGCCUCACAGCCCCGCACCGCCGCCGCCAUGCCCCGGGACCAGGCGGCCUGACCGCGCCAGGCACCACCGACACCGCCGCACCGGGGCUGGCUCCGCGCCCCCCACCAUGGGACUCCCGGACGAUUUUUUUUCUGAAAACCCGCUGAUUUUUAUUAUUUUUUGAGGGGGGGGG